GCAGAGUUGGCUCAAUUGGUACAGCAGCGGUCUUGAAAACCGCCAUCCUGAAAGGGUAUCUGGGUUCGAGUCCCAGACUCUGCG
rnacentral:tRNA from 1 species